rnacentral:snoRNA from 1 species
ACGACUACACUUUAGAAAUCACUUCUACAGCUCAUAGUAGAGAAGUUUCUCUGGUUGUGUACCCGAAACCACCAGGAGGAGCCAGAGAAUCCUCUCCUGAGCAUGAAGCCGAUUCUAGGUGUUGCUUCUGCGACUGCCUUUUACCACUGAUGAAUGUCUUCUCUUCCCUUGGAAGAGUGGGAGAGAGGGUGCAGUCUGAGUGG